rnacentral:rRNA from 1 species
UGAGGAAUAUUGGUCAAUGGGCGGGAGCCUGAACCAGCCAAGUCGCGUGAGGGAUGACGGCCCUACGGGUUGUAAACCUCUUUUGCCGGGGAGCAGGGAGCGCCACGCGUGGUGCUUUUGAGAGUACCCGGAGAAAAAGCAUCGGCUAACUCCGUGCCAGCAGCCGCGGUAAUACGGAGGAUGCGGAGUCGUCAUCCGGAUUUAUUGGGUUUAAAGGGUGCGUAGGCGGGAUGUCAAGUCGGCGGUAAAAAAUUUCGGGGCCCAACCCCGUCGUGCCGUCGAAACUGGUGUCCUAGAGUGGGCGAGAAGUACGCGGAAUGCGUGGUGUAGCGGUGAAAUGCAUAGAUAUCACGCAGAACUCCGAUUGCGAAGGCAGCGUACCGGCGCCCAACUGACGCUGAAGCACGAAAGCGUGGGUAUCGAACAGGAUUAGAUACC